ensembl:lncRNA
AAGAUUUUUCUCCUUUAGCUCAUUCAACACCAUCUUACUCGGAUAUAGCAUCUUCCCUCACGGAUACCAUAUCACUUUCAUCAAGCGACAGUGACCUAAGGGAACAUGGUAUUCCUGCAGGCCGCAGUAGAUCCAGUAAAGAAGACAUGGGCAGUUCUGCAGCGAAAGAGAUGGUUGAAGAUGCCUUGAAUAGGAAGCCUGGUGGAGAGGAUAUCCUUGAAGAAUACAGGGGAGAAAAUUCACUAAGCCACCGCACCCGGAGACAGCUUGUAAACAUAUUGGCAAGUGAUAUGACCGAGAGACAUGGCAGGUUUCCCUCCCGUCAGCAAAAGGAGAAGUAUGCCCUAGGAAUU